GGGGAUAUAGCUCAGCUGGUUAGAGCGCGAUACUGAUAAUGUCGAGGUCUGUGGUUCGAGCCCACAUAUCCCCACCA
rnacentral:tRNA from 1 species